rnacentral:rRNA from 1 species
UGGGGAAUAUUGCACAAUGGGGGGAACCCUGAUGCAGCCAUGCCGCGUGAAUGAAGAAGGCCUUCGGGUUGUAAAGUUCUUUCGGUGGUGAGGAAGGUAUCAACUUUAAUAGAGUUGGUAAUUGACGUUAUCCACAGAAGAAGUACCGGCUAACUCCGUGCCAGCAGCCGCGGUAAUACGGAGGGUGCGAGCGUUAAUCGGAAUGACUGGGCGUAAAGGGCACGCAGGCGGAUGCUUAAGUGAGAUGUGAAAGCCCCGGGCUUAACCUGGGAAUUGCAUUUCAGACUGGGCAUCUAGAGUAUUUUAGGGAGGGGUAGAAUUCCACGUGUAGCGGUGAAAUGCGUAGAGAUGUGGAGGAAUACCGAAGGCGAAGGCAGCCCCUUGGGAAUAUACUGACGCUCAUGUGCGAAAGCGUGGGGAGCAAACAG